GACGAACGCUGGCGGCGUGCUUAACACAUGCAAGUCGAACGGAAAGGCCCUGCUCUUGUGGGGUGCUCGAGUGGCGAACGGGUGAGUAACACGUGAGUAACCUGCCCUUGACUUUGGGAUAACUUCAGGAAACUGGGGCUAAUACCGGAUAGGAGCUCCUGCUGCAUGGUGGGGGUUGGAAAGUUUCGGCGGUUGGGGAUGGACUCGCGGCUUAUCAGCUUGUUGGUGAGGUAGUGGCUUACCAAGGCUUUGACGGGUAGCCGGCCUGAGAGGGUGACCGGCCACAUUGGGACUGAGAUACGGCCCAGACUCCUACGGGAGGCAGCGGUGGGGAAUAUUGCAGAAUGGGCGGAAGCCUGAUGCAGCAACGCCGCGUGCGGGAUGACGGCCUUCGGGUUGUAAACCGCUUUCGCCUGUGACGAGGCGUGAGUGACGGUAAUGGGUAAAGAAGCACCGGCUAACUACGUG
rnacentral:rRNA from 1 species